AAUGCACUUCCCUUGGUCUGUAGUAAAAACCAGCAUGAAACAGCUGUUUCAAAUGUGUCAGUCAGUGAGUCACUCUCUGAUAAUAUGAUAUUGGCUCUGCAGCAAAUCUGUGGUGUUCAGAUAUUUAAUGAAGAUAUUAAAUAGAGCUGGUCAGAAAAAAAGGACUUUGAAAUAACAUUUUUCACCUGUGACCGUGAGCCCUGUAGCUUUCGACCCUUCUGAAAUGGAAGAACGCAACCUCAUGAUAAAGAACUUUGGGGAC